rnacentral:rRNA from 1 species
UACGUAGGCAGCGAGCGUUGUUCGGAAUUACUGGGCGUAAAGAGUGUGUAGGCGGUGCUCUAAGUUCGGUGUGAAAUCUCCCGGCUUAACUGGGAGGGUGCGCCGGAAACUGGAGUGCUCGAGCGUGGGAGAAGAAAGCGGAAUUCCUGGUGUAGCGGUGAAAUGCGCAGAUAUCGGGAAGAACACCUAUGGCGAAGGCAGCUCUCUGGGACGGUACUGACGCUGAGACGCGAAAGCGUGGGGAGCGAACAGG